ACCCGAGCCCGCAAGGGCGAGGGUGGGGAGUGGCGAACGGGCGAGUAAUGCAUAGGUAACCAACCCCGGACGCGGGGACAGCCGCGGGAAACUGCGGGUAAUACCCGAUAAUCCCGGUUAAUCCAAGGAUCAGCCGGGCAAAGCUCCGACGGUUCGGGACGGGCCUAUGUCCUAUCAGGUUGUUGGCAGGGUAAUGGCCUACCAAGCCUAAGACGGGUAGCGGGACUGAGAGGUCGGCCCGCCGCAUCGGGACUGAGACACUGCCCGGACACCUACGGGUGGCUGCAGUAACGAAUCUUCCGCAAUGGGCGCAAGCCUGACGGAGCGAUGCCGCGUGCAGGAUGAAGUCCUUCGGGAUGUAAACUGCUGUCAGGGGUAAGGAAGAUCUGACCGAACCCAGAGGAAGGCACGGCUAACUCUGUGCCAGCAGCCGCGGUAAGACAGAGGUGCCAAGCGUUGUUCGGAAUCACUGGGCUUAAAGAGCGUGUAGGCGGCCUGGAAGGUGUCUGGUGAAAUCCCCCGGCUCAACCGGGGAAUGGCUGGGCAAACCACCGGGCUUGAGGCGGUCAGGGGCGACUGGAACUCUAGGUGGAGCGGUGAAAUGCGUUGAUAUCUAGAGGAACGCCGGUGGCGAAGGCGGGUCGCUGGGGCCGUCCUGACGCUGAGACGCGAAAGCGUGGGGAGCGAACGGGAUUAGAUACCCCGGUAGUCCACGCCGUAAACGAUGCGCACCAGGUUCGAGGGAUUCUGAGAUCCUUUGGGCCGGAGCAAAAGUGCUAAGUGCGCCGCCUGGGGAGUACGGCCGCAAGGCUAAAACUCAAAGGAAUUGACGGGGGCUCACACAAGCGGUGGAGCAUGUGGCUCAAUUCGAAGCAACGCGAAGAACCUUACCUGGGUUUGACAUGCACGGAUGCCUCCUGGAAACAGGGUCAGGCUGCCUUCGGGUGAAACGUGCACAGGUGCUGCAUGGCUGUCGUCAGCUCGUGCUGUGAAGUGUUGGGUUAAGUCCCAUAACGAGCGAAACCCUUGUCGCUAGUUGCCAGCGGGUCAUGCCGGGGACUCUAGCGAGACUGCCGGUGUUAAACCGGAGGAAGGUGGGGAUGACGUCAAGUCCUCAUGGCCUUUAUGCCCAGGGAUGCACACGUGCUACAAUGGCGGCUACAAACCGACGCGAGACCGCGAGGUGGAGCCAAUCGGAAAAAAGCCGCCCCAGUUCAGAUUGCAGGCUGCAACCCGCCUGCAUGAAGGCGGAAUCGCUAGUAAUCGCGCAUCAGCUACGGCGCGGUGAAUGUGUUCCUGAGCCUUGUACACACCGCCCGUCAAGUCAUGG
rnacentral:rRNA from 1 species